GUCAACACAUUUGCAUUAAAUUGUAUGAAAUACGUUUUUAUUAGGGCUCACAUGGUGUUUUUUUUAAAUAGUAAAGGACACGGUGACAGAACAAUGGAGGAUUUAAAACACUGGUCAACUAAUAAACCCAAUUAGUUUACAGAAAGUGUUAAUGGCAGUACAGAUCUAGUACUAAAUUAGACAAGGAACGAUACAGACAUGCUACUUUUCUUCUGUACUUUUUGUUUUUGAAUCUGCUCCAACUUGACAAGUGAGGCCAGGACAUGUUAGACAAAAUAAUGUUUUUUUUUAGCUCUUACCAAUAAAGAAUUUCU